rnacentral:rRNA from 1 species
AGGCGACGAUCAGUAAGCUGGUCUGACGAGGACGAUCAGCCACACUGGGACUGAGACACGGCCCAGACAUCCUACGGGACGGCAGCAGUGGGGAAUUUUCCGCAAUGGGCGAAAGCCUGACGAGAGCAAUACCCGCGUGAGGGAGGAAGGCUCUUGGGUCGUAAACCUCUUUUCUCAAGGGAAGACACACAAUGACGGUACCUGAGGAAUAAGCAUCGGCUAACUCCGUAGCCAGCAGCCCGCGGUAAUACGGAGGAUGCAAGCGUUAUCCGGAAUGAUUGGGACGUAAAGCCGUCCGCAGGUGGCAAUGUAAGUCUGCUGUUAAAGAGUCUAGCUCAAACUAGCAUACAAGCAGUGGAAACUACAUAGCUAGAGUACGUUCGGGGCAGAGAGGAACUUCCUGGUGUAGCGGUGA